GACGAACGCUGGCGGCGUGCCUAAUACAUGCAAGUCGAACGCUUCUUUCCUCCCGAGUGCUUGCCCUCAAUUGGAAAGAGGAGUGGCGGACGGGUGAGUACCACGUGUGUAACCUACUCAUCAGAGGGGGAUAACACCUGGAGACAGGUCCUAAUACCGCCUAACAGUUUAUGCCGCAUGGCAUAAGAGUGUACGGCGCUUUCGGGUGUCGCUGCUGGAUUUACCCGCGGUGCAUUAGCUAGUGGGUGAGGUAACGGUCCACCAAGGCGACGAUCCGUAGCCGGUCUGAGAGGGUGAUCGGCCACACUGGAACUGAGACACGGCCCAGACUCCUACGGGAGGCAGCAGUAGGGAAUCUUGGGCAAUGGACGAAAGUCUGACCGAGCCACGCCGCGUGAGUGAAGAAGGUUUUCGGGUCGUAAAGCUCUGUUGUUAGGGAAGAACAAGGACGUUAGUAACUGAACGUCCCCUGACGGUACCUAACCAGAAAGCCACGGCUAACUACGUG
rnacentral:rRNA from 1 species